GGCUUUGUUUGCGCAGGAUAGGUGGGAGGCGUUGGAGAUUUUCUUGCGGGAAGAUUGGAGCCGUUGGUGAGAUACCACUCUAACAAUGCUAGGAUUCUAACCCUAUACCGUUAUCCGGUUAGGGGACAGUUUCAGGUGGUCAGUUUGACUGGGGCGGUCGCCUCCCAAAAGGUAACGGAGGCGUGCAAAGGUUUCCUCAGGCUGGUCGGAAAUCAGUCGUAGAGUGUAAAGGCAUAAGGAAGCUUGAUUGUGAGACCUACAAGUCGAACAAAGACGAAAGUCGGCCUUAGUGAUCCGACGGUUCCGAGUGGAAGGGCCGUCGCUCAACGGAUAAAAGUUACUCUAGGGAUAACAGGCUGA
rnacentral:rRNA from 1 species